CCGAGCUGUAACUCAGUUGGUUAGAGCGCUGCACCGGAAUCGCAGGGCCGUAGGUUCAAUUCCUACCAGAGGA